GCAUAACGCGAAGAACCUUACCAAGGCUUGACAUCCCCUUGACCGGCACAGAGAUGUGCCCUCUCCUUCGGGAGCAAGGGUGACAGGUGGUGCAUGGUUGUCGUCAGCUCGUGUCGUGAGAUGUUGGGUUAAGUCCCGCAACGAGCGCAACCCUUAUCCUUAGUUGCCAGCAUUAAGAUGGGCACUCUAAGGAGACUGCCGAUGAUAAAUCGGGGGAAGGUGGGGAUGACGUCAAAUCAUCAUGCCCCUUAUGUCUUGGGCUACACACGUGCUACAAUGGUCGGUACAAAGGGCAGCGAAGGAGUGAUCCGGAGCAAAUCCCAAUAAACCGAUCUCAGUUCGGAUUGUAGGCUGCAACUCGCCUACAUGAAGUCGGAGUUGCUAGUAAUCGCGAAUCAGAACGUCGCGGCGAAUGCGUUCCCGGGUCUUGUACACACCG
rnacentral:rRNA from 1 species